rnacentral:rRNA from 1 species
UGAGUACGAGAUGCUACGGCGUCGAAGCAGUGUAUGUCAGACUUCCAAGAAAAGCUCGCAAUGUCAUAAAUAAAUAAUGCCUGUACCAUAACCGACACAGGUGGGUAGGUAGAGUAUACUAAGGGGCGCGAGAUAACUCUCUCUAAGGAACUCGGCAAAAUAACUCCGUAACUUCGGGAGAAGGAGUGCCUUAUUUUAUAAGGUUGCAAUAACAAGAUCCAAGCAACUGUUUAUCAAAAACACAGGUCUCCGCUAAGUCGUAAGACGAUGUAUGGGGGCUGACGCCUGCCCAGUGCCAGAAGGUUAAAGAAGUUGGUUAGCAUUAGCGAAGCUGGUGACUGAAGCCCUGGUGAACGGCGGCCGUAACUAUAACGGUCCUAAGGUAGCGAAAUUCCUUGUCGGGUAAGUUCCGACCCGCACGAAAGGCGUAAUGAUUUGGAUACUGUCUCGGAGAGGGACUCGGUGAAAUAGACUUGUCUGUGAAGAUGCGGACUACCUGCACCAGGACAGAAAGACCCUAUGAAGCUUUACUGUAACUUGAAAUUGAAAUUGGACUUUAUUUGCGCAGUAUAGGUGGGAGGCGUUGAAAGGAAUCUUGCGGGAUUCGUGGAGCCAUCAGUGAGAUACCACUCCUAUAAUGUUAGAUUUCUAACUUUGUAUCAUGAUCUGGUCAAAGAACAGUUUCAGGCGGGCAGUUUGACUGGGGCGGUCGCCUCCCGAAUGGUAACGGAGGCGUACAAAGGUUUCCUCUGAACGGGUAGAAAUCGUAUCUAGAGUAUAAAGGCAUAAGGAAGCUUGACUGUGAGACCUACAAGUCGAGCAGGGACGAAAGUCGGUCUUAGUGAUCUGACGGUGCUGAGUGGAAAGGCCGUCACUCAACGGAUAAAAGUUACUCUAGGAUAACAGGCUGAUCUCCCCCAAGAGUUCACAUCGACGGGGAGGUUUGGCACCUCGAUGUCGGCUCAUCGCAUCCUGGGGCGGUAGUACGUCCCAAGGGUUGGGCUGUUCGCCCAUGAAAGCGGUACGCGAGCUGGGUUCAGAACGUCGUGAGACAGUUCGGUCCAUAUCCGGUGUAGGCGUUAGAAUAUUGAGAGGAGCCUUCUUUAGUACGAGAGGACCGAGAAGUACAUACCUCUGGUGUACCAGUUAUCGUGCCAACGGUAAACGCUGGGUAGCUAUGUAUGGAGAGGAUAACCGCUGAAAGCAUCUAAGUGGGAAGCCCACCUCAAGAUUAGUAUUCUCGUC